UACGUAGGGACCAAGCGUUGUUCGGAUUUACUGGGCGUAAAGGGCGCGUAGGCGGCGCGGUAAGUCACUUGUGAAAUCUCUGAGCUUAACUCAGAACGGCCAAGUGAUACUGCAGUGCUAGAGUGUGGAAGGGGCAAUCGGAAUUCUUGGUGUAGCGGUGAAAUGCGUAGAUAUCUGGAGGAACACCGGUGGCGAAGGCGGCGUUCUGGACUGUUUCUGACACUGAAUAACGAAAGCCAGGGGAGCAAACGGG
rnacentral:rRNA from 1 species